CAGCCGCCGCGGUAAUACGUAGGUGGCAAGCGUUGUCCGGAAUUAUUGGGCGUAAAGGGCUCGCAGGCGGUUUCUUAAGUCUGAUGUGAAAGCCCCCGGCUCAACCGGGGAGGGUCAUUGGAAACUGGGAAACUUGAGUGCAGAAGAGGAGAGUGGAAUUCCACGUGUAGCGGUGAAAUGCGUAGAGAUGUGGAGGAACACCAGUGGCGAAGGCGACUCUCUGGUCUGUAACUGACGCUGAGGAGCGAAAGCGUGGGGAGCGAACAGGAUUAGAGACCCCCGUAGUCCCUGUCUCUUAUAA
rnacentral:rRNA from 1 species